CUUGACUUGAGGUCGAAGGGGAAACACCCUCCACCCGGCCGAGGGACUGGACACACAACCCAAAUCCCCCUUUCAAAUGACCUUCCAGAUGGGUGGCACUCCAACGGUCCUGGAAGUUCCUGCCCUCAUCUUCCAACCAUGAUGAUUGCUGCUUGGUGGUGUUUGCUGGCAAGAGCAGGUCCUUCCAAGUCACAGGCUACCCAUGGGCCUCUGCCGGAUGCUCACACAUGCCUUCAAACGCGCUCACAUGCACUCAAGGAGGGAGAGCCAGGACGAUCGGUAGCAAAUUUGAGAAAGAAUUGGAGGAAAAUUGAGAAAUGAGAAGCAUUCGGAUGCCAGAAGAGCAAAAUGAAGGAAUGAUGUAUUGAGA
rnacentral:lncRNA from 1 species